AGGUGAACCUGCGGAAGGAUCAUUACUGAAUUGUCAACAAGAGUUGUUGCUGGCUCCCUCUACAUGGGGGAGCAUGUGCACACUCUGUUUACACAUCCACUUACACCUGUGCACACUUCUGUAGUUCUGUGGCUGGGGGGCCUCUGUCCUUCUGCUGUGGUUCUAUGUUUUUAUCACACACGCUGUAAUGAAGUCUUAUGGAAUGUAUGUCGCGUUUAACGCAAUGAAAUACAACUUUCAGCAACGGAUCUCUUGGCUCUCGCAUCGAUGAAGAACGCAGCGAAAUGCGAUAAGUAAUGUGAAUUGCAGAAUUCAGUGAAUCAUCGAAUCUUUGAACGCACCUUGCGCCCUUUGGCUAUUCCGAAGGGCAUGCCUGUUUGAGUAUCAUGAAUACCUCAACUCUCACAGCUUGCUGUGAUGAGCUUGGACUUUGGGGGUCUUGCUGGCCUGUGUUCAGCUCCUCUCAAAUGAAUCAGCCUGCCAGUGUUUGGUGGCAUCACAGGUGUGAUAACUAUCUACGCUUGUGGUUUUCCACCAGGUAACCUUCAACAAUGGAGGUUCACUGGAGCUUACAAAUGUCCCUCCUCAGUGGGGACAGCUUUGACCAUUUGAUCUCAA
rnacentral:rRNA from 1 species